rnacentral:lncRNA from 1 species
AAAUUAAAUGUGCAGAAGAAGAGGGCUUGAGGUAUAUAACCAGGAAAAAGGGAAUUGCAGGUGGCAAGAAUAUUGCCAGGUAGUGAGCUCUGAUUUCCUGACUUUACUGUUCCCUGUUUUCCUCUCUGCCUUAUGCUGUUUUUAUUUCAUGCAGAAUCCAGAACUUCUGUCCACAAAGUUGAAAAAAAAAAUAAAAUAAUCACAAGUAGGAAGGAGCCAGUGGGAGCCAAUUCACAACCAGAAUUAAGUUCCGGACUUCACAUCUUCAAAGACACUGGCUUAAGUUCCCUUGUCCGUCAGCGGGAGGAAAACAGACCUUGGCAGAAAAAAUGGGCUGCAAUGUUUUGGUUUGUUCAUGAGCAGAGAACACAGGGCCAGCAGCGUUGCCCAGUCUGUGUCAAUUGUUAUUACUCAUCAGCUGAGCUCCCAACCCUUCUGGGAAUAAAAUGGGUAGGUCACAUGAAUGACAAAUAUUUAUGAAUUGCAUCACCAUGGUUAUAAGAUUCUGUUUUGUGUCUCUAAGACUUGCUCUUAUAAUUGGUUUUGUUGUUUUUCGUAUUCAUUUCAUGCUUCUUUUAAUUAAUUUCCAGCAUGAUGUUAUGAUGCAUGACUCGAAUGGCAAGAAAAAAAAAGCUUUUUUUGUGUGUGCUUAAAGCUUGUUGUGUGUUUAUAUCAUAGGUCUAGGCAAAACAACAAUUAGUGUCACUCAAUUAAACAGAUGAGCCAAAGCAGACUCCUUUACCGGUAUAAGGUCAGGUAUCUUGAAGCAGAUCUCUCCCUUGGAAGGUGCACUGGGAGGUCAGCCCAUGCUGUGCCGUGAAGAGAUUCAUCACUCACACUGUAAGUAAAACCAAUUGAUUACUUCCUCAGUCUUUGGUGCAUUUUGUCAUGGCACAAAGGGGCCUCAGAACAGCUGGGUUUCACACCUGCUUAUUGGAAUCUUCAGGUUUAACUGGGGUUACAGUGUUUUCUCUCCCUUUCAUUUCUUUGAGCUGGCCUCCACGUUCUUCCUGCAGUCAGUGUCUAGGAAAGAACACAAAGUCAUAUU